UACGAGUGGUGCAAGCGUUAUUCGGAAUAACUGGGCGUAUAGGGUGCGUAGACGGCAUAUUAAGUCUGCUGUUAAAUACUUCAGCUCAACUGAAGACAUGCGGUAGAAACUGAUGCGCUAGAGAUUGAAAGAGAGAAGUGGAAUUCCCGGAGUAGCGGUAAAAUGCGUAGAUCUCGGGAGGAACACCAAUGGCGAAGGCAGCUUCUUGGUUCAAUUCUGACGUUGAGGCACGAAAGCGUGGGGAGCAAACAGG
rnacentral:rRNA from 1 species